CACGGAGAGCCUUGUAUUCAUCGCCGUACACCAGGUACCUAUCCAUCUGGCCUGGGUGGUCCUUCUGCAGCCCCAGGAAUACAGAGGGUCAAGUAUUCCUGAAUAUAAUCUUUUACAUCAUCGAAGCUGCAGAAAGAGAAAUAUUAUUCCUGGCUCUCUCAGAUCUGGAGACAUACCUUACUAAAAACAAGAGCAUCUAUCUAUCGGUCAUCUAUCCUCUUAGAAGCUUGAAUGCUACCAUCACCAACCAACAUUGUCAGUUGUUUGGCUGAGGCCGGCUCGCUUUGCUGAUUUCCAGGAGAGGCCUGCCCAGCCCUGGACACCUGUAUCGUGUGCAUCCUUCCUUCCAGCAGGAGUGGCAGUCCAUGAACACAGCAGCCGGCUGCUAACUCAGGGCUUGUCAUGAGUGAUUUUCUGCGAGGCAACUGUCUACUCCGGUGUGUAGUGGGAGUGUUUUGUGUGUACUUCCCAUUUCCACAAAACAUUAAAAAGUCAAAUCCUCAAGAAUCAAGAUUUAGUAAAAAUAAAAUGAAACUGGCAUGAAGAAAACCACGUGUGCAUGGCAGUGAAGAAAACAAUACCUACAGCUACUGUGUCUUUACGUGAGGGGCCAGCAGUUUAACUCAUCACCGCUUUUGUAACAUCAUCAUAAGUAUCAACAUGUUUUUUAAAAAAAGGGCAAAUUUAUCUUAGUAAUCUAAUUUUUAAAAUAGUUUUAACCUCAGAGACCUACUUCACACCCAAGGGUCCAUAUCAACACUUCGAGAACUGCAAUAUUAGAUCAAUACAAGUACCACAGGUGAUACUAUUCUUGGAUGUCAACAUCCUUUCCAAGGAAAUAGAGCCCAUGUUCAGGGGAAUAGAAACUUAGAAGACAUCUAGGACAUUCAGGGAGAGCAGGAUUCUAAGCUACCAUCUGAAAUAUCAGAAAACUGGGCCGCUGUGGAACCAGGCUCAGCACCACAGAUUCUGGCCUCUUGAGUUCCGUGUCCCUCACACGACCAUGGUCCCUUCACGGCACUGUUGGCUUCUUGCUAGAUGUGUGCUUGUGGGAAUACUAAACUCAUGUGCCUACAAGUGAAAAUGUCAGAAUAUACAACCAGUACAAGUAACCAGGUUGUGUCUCACCAAAAAAGCUCCCCAAGAUCAUGUACUAGCUAUUAGUCAUGACAAGAAGACUUGGUAACAAAGAGAACGCCACGAUGAGGAAAAAAAGCCAGGGCUUUCUAGAAGCAAGUCUCCUUG